rnacentral:rRNA from 1 species
GAUGAACGCUGGCGGCGUGCCUAAUACAUGCAAGUCGAGCGAACGGAUGAGAAGCUUGCUUCUCUGAUGUUAGCGGCGGACGGGUGAGUAACACGUGGAUAACCUACCUAUAAGACUGGGAUAACUUCGGGAAACCGGAGCUAAUACCGGAUAAUAUUUUGAACCGCAUGGUUCAAUAGUGAAAGACGGUUUUGCUGUCACUUAUAGAUGGAUCCGCGCUGCAUUAGCUAGUUGGUAAGGUAACGGCUUACCAAGGCAACGAUGCAUAGCCGACCUGAGAGGGUGAUCGGCCACACUGGAACUGAGACACGGUCCAGACUCCUACGGGAGGCAGCAGUAGGGAAUCUUCCGCAAUGGGCGAAAGCCUGACGGAGCAACGCCGCGUGAGUGAUGAAGGUCUUCGGAUCGUAAAACUCUGUUAUUAGGGAAGAACAUAUGUGUAAGUAACUGUGCACAUCUUGACGGUACCUAAUCAGAAAGCCACGGCUAACUACGUG